rnacentral:rRNA from 1 species
AUUGAACGCUGGCGGCAUGCCUUACACAUGCAAGUCGAACGGUAACGGGCCUUCGGGUGCCGACGAGUGGCGAACGGGUGAGUAAUGUAUCGGAACGUACCUUUCAGUGGGGGAUAACGUAGCGAAAGUUACGCUAAUACCGCAUAUUCUGUGAGCAGGAAAGCAGGGGAUCGCAAGACCUUGCGCUGAUUGAGCGGCCGAUAUCAGAUUAGCUAGUUGGUGAGGUAAAGGCUCACCAAGGUGACGAUCUGUAGCGGGUCUGAGAGGAUGAUCCGCCACACUGGAACUGAGACACGGUCCAGACUCCCACGGGAGGCAGCAGUGGGGAAUUUUGGACAAUGGGGGCAACCCUGAUCCAGCCAUGCCGCGUGAGUGAAGAAGGCCUCCGGGUUGUAAAGCUCUUUCGGCCGGGAAGAAAUAGUAUCAGCUAAUACCUGGUGCGGAUGACGGUACCGGCAUAAGAAGCACCGGCUAACUACGUGCCAGCCGCCGCCGUAACAC